rnacentral:rRNA from 1 species
GCCGCGUGAGCGAUGAAGGCCUUCGGGUCGUAAAGCUCUGUUGUUAGGGAAGAACAAGUACCGUUCGAAUAGGGCGGUACCUUGACGGUACCUAACCAGAAAGCCACGGCUAACUACGUGCCAGCAGCCGCGGUAAUACGUAGGUGGCAAGCGUUGUCCGGAAUUAUUGGGCGUAAAGCGCGCGCAGGCGGUCCUUUAAGUCUGAUGUGAAAGCCCACGGCUCAACCGUGGAGGGUCAUUGGAAACUGGGGGACUUGAGUACAGAAGAGGAAAGUGGAAUUCCACGUGUAGCGGUGAAAUGCGUAGAGAUGUGGAGGAACACCAGUGGCGAAGGCGACUUUCUGGUCUGUAACUGACGCUGAGGCGCGAAAGCGUGGGGAGCAAACAGGAUUA